rnacentral:sRNA from 1 species
CUAGGGCGCUGCAGGGUCGCGAGGAAGUUUGUUGGCCCGGAACCAAGCACGCCGUCGGGCACGGCAGCUCCCCGAGAGCAGGCGGGCGCAUCCGUGGCCACUUGUUCACAUGGUUUCAAGGCAUAAUGAGUCUCACUGGCCCUUGGAAACUUUGGCUUUGGAUGUCAAUAUUCCUGCUUCCUGCUUCCACUUCCGUGACCAUUAGGGACAAGACAGUAAAUCUCGCUGCUGCUCACUCUUUGAGUCCGCACCACCUUUAAGAGCUGUAACACUUGCCGCGAAGGUCCACGGCUUCAUUCUUGAAGUCAAUGAGACCACAAACCCACCAGAAGGAAGAAACCCUGGACACAUCGGAAGGAACAAACUCCAGACACACCAUCUUUAAGAGCUGUAACACUCACUGCGAAGGUCUGCAGCUUCAUUCUUGAAGUCAGCGAGACCAAGAACCCACUGGAAGGAACCAACUCCGGACACAGUUUUACAUAGGAUUUAUAUGUCGGUCACUCCCAAAUGUACUUCACAGCCCUCACCUCUCUUUUGAAUUCCAUUCCUAACUGUCUAUUUGAUAACUCCAUCAUUUCAAUUUCUUAAUGGCACGUCAGAUUUAACAUUUCUAAUUUCUCCUCUUUCCCACUACAGAUUAACUUACUCCUUGCUAAGUUUUCUUUUAUUUUUCUAGUGGGAUUUAUUUCAGUCAACUAAUCUCCCUCCUCCCUACAUUCAGUCCCUUAUCAUCUCCUGUUGGUUCUUGUAUCUCUCAAUUCCUUCACAUGAAAUUGAAGAUGUUUUCCAUUUUCAGUGUCAUCUCUAGUCCAAGCUACCAUCAUAUCUGGCAUCACAGAGUGUGGCCGUAUGACUAAGUUUACCAGGUAAAAUACAGGAUGCCCAGUUAAAUUUGAAGUUUAAACAAUAAAUACUUUUUUAGUAUAAGUAUGUUCCAAAUAUUGCGUGGGACAUACUUGUACUAAAAAUAUUUUUAUUUAUCUGACAUUCACAUUUAACUGGGAAUCCUGUAUUUUAUUAGCUAUGUUUGGUAAUUUUAUAUAUGUGACGGAGAAGAGGUUAUUUAUUACACAGAGUGGUCAGGGAAGGCUGCCCUCCAACCUCACUGGGCAGGCUGGUUGGAGUUUCUCCAAAGACCCACUCCCACCUGGCUGUCUCAUUCCUCCCUCUAAAAAAGUACAUCUAAUUGCUGUUACAUUAAGGAUAAGGAUGAAGACUGAUCUCAAUUUCUUCCUGCUGACAGGGGGUGCUGUUUUGGGGAAACGGAAGUCAGAGCUCCCUCAGAGGCCUAUCUAAGGGUUCCUAGCAGAAGGGGCCAUUGUCAGAGGCUCCAGUUGCAUGACCAUUUGGAGUUUGAUGGCCUGAAGGCAAGAACAGACAAACCUGGUUAUUAGAAAACACGUAUCAACAUGAAACAAGGGGAGGGAUAAGGACAGCUCAAAAAUUCCAAGGCCUUUUACCAGUUUGCACAGGGAGAGGGAGGCCAAACACCUAACUAGCAAAAAAAAAAAAAAA